GCAGUCGACGCUUCUUUUCUCCCGAGUGCUUGCACUCAAUUGGAAAGAGGAGUGGCGGACGGGUGAGUAACACGUGGGUAACCUACCCAUCAGAGGGGGAUAACACUUGGAAACAGGUGCUAAUACCGCAUAACAGUUUAUGCCGCAUGGCAUAAGAGUGAAAGGCGCUUUCGGGUGUCGCUGAUGGAUGGACCCGCGGUGCAUUAGCUAGUUGGUGAGGUAACGGCUCACCAAGGCCACGAUGCAUAGCCGACCUGAGAGGGUGAUCGGCCACACUGGGACUGAGACACGGCCCAGACUCCUACGGGAGGCAGCAGUAGGGAAUCUUCGGCAAUGGACGAAAGUCUGACCGAGCAACGCCGCGUGAGUGAAGAAGGUUUUCGGAUCGUAAAACUCUGUUGUUAGAGAAGAACAAGGACGUUAGUAACUGAACGUCCCCUGACGGUAUCUAACCAGAAAGCCACGGCUAACUACGUGCCAGCAGCCGCGGUAAUACGUAGGUGGCAAGCGUUGUCCGGAUUUAUUGGGCGUAAAGCGAGCGCAGGCGGUUUCUUAAGUCUGAUGUGAAAGCCCCCGGCUCAACCGGGGAGGGUCAUUGGAAACUGGGAGACUUGAGUGCAGAAGAGGAGAGUGGAAUUCCAUGUGUAGCGGUGAAAUGCGUAGAUAUAUGGAGGAACACCAGUGGCGAAGGCGGCUCUCUGGUCUGUAACUGACGCUGAAGCUCGAAAGCGUGGGGAGCAACAGGAUUAGAUACCCUGGUAGUCC
rnacentral:rRNA from 1 species